GCUACAAUUUGUUUCGCCUUUUCGACUCGUUUCACGAUGUAACAAUAACAAGGGCGACACUAGCGACAUCUAGUAAUGAGUUUUGAAUCUUUUGAAAGUUGCCCAACUACUUGUUGUUCCUAUGACCUAUGUCAUGAAACGAGACGAAAUGGGCGAAACAAAACAAAUUAAUGCUAAUUAUAUUUAUAUUCCUCUGAUUUCAAAUACCAAAUGGAACUUCGUAUCUUAUAUGCAGACUUGCAUAGCUACUGUCAGACUGUCAGUCAUUCAAACAAGUUGACUUAGUGCUCAGUCACUUUCCAUCUAUUAGAUCCUCAUACUGUCAAAAGCCUAAAACUUCUGUUUGAAGCCCACAUAGAGUGGAAUACAAAUGUGAGGAGAUAAGGUAUUUUCCCACUACUGCUACCACACCAACCACACUACGUCAAAUGCCUUACUAAAUCAUCACCCAAAUGAUAAAGGAAAUUUAUCCCACCCGAGGAGUAAUGCUGUUGGCUGCUGUAAUUCCAUUAUUACGGUUUUUCAUCAUGAACAUUUCAAUGUGCUUCUUAGAAAAAAUCAUGCAAGAUCCCCACGGACAUCCUUGAGCAAUUGAAUGCUGGAUUUUGCCCAUGACAGAAGAAGGACUUCCACCAAUGUUCUGCUCCAUCCUUAUUUUCAAGACGUACGCUCAUCCAGCUUCACUGCUUCAGUGCUUCUUUGCUGCUUCACUGGAGAGUUAGUUCACUUCAGUUGCUGUGACACACCUGCAGUCACUCACAACGGGAUUAUGGUCAGGUAAUGCAGCGGAAACGUCGAGAAGAUGGACACCAAAACGUCGCCAGUAUCUCCAAAAUGGCAGCGCGGAUCAUCAUUUGUUGUUGGUAAUAUGUUUUCGUUUGUGUAAGUUAACUUGUUGUCUGCCACGCCUUUGUUCUCCCCUAGCUCCUUAGCACGGGCCGCGCUGUUCAGUCUCGUGGUUUUCAUGCCGCGGGAUCGGAAAGUCGCCAAGUCCAAAAUUUGCCGCAAGGCGCCUGUUAGGCAAUGCACCAUAGUUCCCCCUUGUCGAUGCGGUGACUUGUCAGCAA